rnacentral:lncRNA from 1 species
AGGCCAGUAGCAGGAUAUGCUAACCUGUGUCCAAAUAUGAUCUCUACCCAGCCUCAGGAGUUUACUGGGAUGCUGUCCACAGUGAAACAGAUUAUUCAUGCCCUGGGUUUCUCUGCUGGGCUGUUUGCAUUUUGCCAUGAUGAAGAUGGAAAUCCUCUCACUUCAAGAUUUGCAGAUGGCCUCCCACUUUUUAAUUUUAGUCUUGGAUUAUAUCAAUGGAGUGAUAAAGUAGUUCGAACAGUGGAGAGAUUAUGGGAUGUUCGAGACAAUAACACUGUGUAUUAUUGUUUAUCUCCUGGUAACGCUUCUUGUUGUAACAGGAAGCACGAAAACAUUUUAAUUGUCCAGUUCUGGAGGGAAUGGAACUUGAAAAUCAAGGUGGUAAGUGCACUGAGCUCAACCAUUGGGAAAAAAGGUUAUUAGAAAUGAAGCAAUGACUGGUUCUCACACCCAGAAUCAAGUACUGUCUCAAAUCACUCUGGCAUUAAUGGAGGACACUGC